rnacentral:rRNA from 1 species
UACAGAGGGUGCGAGCGUUUGUCCGGAAUCACUGGGCGUAAAGGGCGCGUAGGUGGCGCGACAAGUCAGUGGUGAAAGUUCGACGCUCAACGUCGAAUCGGCCACUGAUACUGUUGGGCUUGAGCACUGUAGAGGCUAAUGGAAUUCCGGGUGUAGCGGUGGAAUGCGUAGAGAUCCGGAAGAACACCGGUGGCGAAGGCGGUUAGCUGGGCAGUGCUGGACACUGAG